GAGGGUAUAGCUCAGUGGUAGAGUGCCUGUUUUAGCAGGCAUGAGGUCCUGGGUUCAAUUCCUAGUACCUCCA
rnacentral:tRNA from 1 species